rnacentral:rRNA from 1 species
GAUGAACGCUGGCGGCGUGCCUAACACAUGCAAGUCGAGCGAACAGAUGAGGAGCUUGCUCCUCUGACGUUAGCGGAGGACGGGAGAGUAACACGUGUAUAACCCCCCUAUAUGACUGGGAUCACCUGGGGAAACCGGAGCAUAUACCGGAUGAUAUAUUGAACCGCAGGGUUCAAUAGUAAAAGACGGCUUUUCUGUCACGUCUAGAUGCAUCCGCGCCGCAUGAGCUAGUUGGUAGGGUAACGGCGUUCCACGGCAACGAUGCGUAGCCGACCGGUGAGAGGGAUCGCCCGCCUGGGAACUGAGACACGGUCAAUGCGCCUACGGGAGGGAGCAGUAGGGAAUCGUCCGCAAUGGUCGGAAACCUGACGGAGUAGCGCCGCGUGAGUGAUGAAGCUCUCCGGAUCGUGAUGCUCUGUUAUGAGGGAUAAACAAAUGUGUAAGGAGCUAUGCACGUCUUGACGGUACCUGGUCAGAAAGCCACGGCUAACUACGUG